rnacentral:rRNA from 1 species
AACGAACGCUGGCGGCAUGCCUAACACAUGCAAGUCGAACGAAACCUUCGGGUCUUUUGUCGCCCGGUUUCGUAACGCGUGGGAACCUUCCCUUAUGUUCGGCAUAACUCCCCGAAAGGGGUGCUAAUACCGGAUAAUGUCUUCUACCCAAUGAUUUAUUGCCUUUGGUUGGGCCCGCGUUGGAUUAGCUCUUUGGUAGGGUAAUAGCCUACUAAGGCGACGAUGCAUAGCUUGUUUGAGAGAAUGCUCAGCGACACUGGGAGUGAGACACGGCCGAGAAUCCUACGGGAGGCGGCAGUGCGUGAUAGUGGAAAGCGGGGGAAAGGAUGAAGCAGCAAUGACGGGUGAGCGAUGAAGGUAUUAGAGUUGAAAAGCGCUUUUAACCGGGAUGAUAAUGACAGUACCGGGAGAAUAAGCUACGGCUAACUACGUG